AAGUAUUCAAUGCAAAUUAGCAAUAAACAGUAUAUAUUUCCAGCAUAGAGCCGAAUUGAACACGUUUGUAUCAACACAUUCGAGUGCCUUCCUCGUAACAUUUACUUCAGAAAACUUCUGAAAGUACUCUCGCUGUUUGCUCUAGACGACAAAAGAAAACAAAAACAAAAUGAAGGGAGUGUUUCUUGUCCUCACUCUUCUGAUACUGGUGUCUGUGACUGAUGGGGCUAAAACCUCCUGUCCACAUAACUGCGCAACUACUUUUGUCGAGUGCACCUACAAUGAUAAGCGAUGUGACAACUUCGAUAACUGUCAAACAAGGUGCUUUAAUCCCUACAACAUGUGCAAGGCGAACUGUAAAAAGAGGAGAGAAUUGUUGUCAAGGUUUGCCCUCGAAGAUGAUGAUGCGGACGCUUUCUUCCGUUAAAAGGAAAAAUAUCGAGAUGACAGAAUUAAUUUUAAAUCCGUAUUUCACCCCUGCAGAGCGUUUGAAUUUUCCCUUUCCGGUAUUCAUUUCUGUAUAAAUUUAACCUACGGGCACUUAAAAGAAAACAAUGAGCAAAAGCAGUGACAAGCUUUCAUAUCUCUUGUAAUUAGAAGUUUCUGUAGAAAUUAUCUCUACUAGUAAUUGUGUUGGUGCGAGCUGAUAUGCGGUCAUCUCGUGCCGGCUACAGAGGGAGGUUACCCUUAAUAACUUGUAUUAUUUGCCCCUAAUCUACAAAAAUAUCAAGCAUGACAAAAGUUUGCCAAAACCAAAUAAAAGUUAUGUUAUCUGA